UUUGUGUUCAUCAAUUGCUGAGUAAAGGCUUUACUUUUCACCAUUAUUAUCAUCUCAUAUUAUACCUUUUACCUUAAAACCCUUCUUAUUAUAAAAUCAACAUGAGUUUGUUUUUUCUUUUGUUUUUUUGAUGCUUUGAUGAAUGGUUAAUAAGGACACGAUUUUAAAUCUCUUUUUCAUCCGCCGUUUUAAUAAUCCUCUCAUUUUGUCUUUAAUUUUAUGGUAAUCAUUAACCAAGAGAUGAUAUUAAUUAACCAGGUAAUAAAUGAUUAGCCAAUUGAUACACAAUCAAGUUCGAUGAUGGAGGAAAUGGUCCCUGAUUAAGCUCAGCUUAACCCAUUGGCUCUAUAAAAGUCAACGCAAAGGUUGAGAUUAAAGGUUAAAUUGUGACCAUUAACAUGCUGAUUGUUAAUGCUAAUGAAGGUGCUAAAUGUGAACAUAAAGUUAAAAGUUGAGUGGCCAUAGAUCGUGAGCUUACCAAGUAAACCAAAAAUAUGGAAAGACAAUGUUAAUGAAUAUGGAAAUGAAAGAGAAAGGAUUUUUUUAAUACGCUGAAUACCGGUGAAAAGGACGCUGAUUAAGGUGGUGAAGGUGAUGAUGAAGAGUUGGAGGGAAGAGACAAAAGGAAAAAAAAGAGAAAUGGCGAAAUGGACAGAUGAGGAAGAGGAAGAAAAUAGUUGUAUAUUGGACAUAAUCAAGUUAAUCGUGCGAUGAAAUGAAACAUUAAUUUCGUGAUGAGUCUUAUCUUGCACAAUAACAUAUUUCUUUAGACUCUCAACCUCCUACAACCCUCCUCUUCACCAUCAUCUUCAUCCACUUUCCAUCGCUUGACCAGGUUUAAAAAUAAGAUGAUUUUUCCUUCACUCUCUCAGCUCACCUUUUGGCCUAACAAGACUGACCAUUUCAAUGAUGACAACUGGGACAGCGAUCAUCGGAGAUAAUCUAAUUGUGGCCAAUGAAGAGCAUUAAAGUUGACCAAGGAUGAAACAUUAACCUUGCCAUUGAAGGAGGAUUGAUUAAUGGACAAGCAAAGUGACUGUAACAUUGGAUUUAUCAUUGAAACAUGGAUCCAAUGACCACUGGUUUAACAAAUUAACUUGAUGAUUAAAUUAUUCGACUGUUGAACGGAUCAAUAUUUUCAACUGAAUGGACAAAUUCAUAUGAAUACAAUGGACUGUUAAUGUGUCUUAAUACAUCAAAAUUUAAUCCUUAAUCUGACACAUUCUUAUACUUAACAUAUUAAUCAAUUUUUUUUCUUAUUAAUCAACAGUUAAUUUUGUUGCACAUCUGAAUUGACAAGAUUAUGUUGAUUAUUUUGAAGUUACUUUCAAUUCAAUUCACUGACCUAAAAAUCAGUGUGUAACGGAAGUUAACCAUCAAUAACAGUUUGACGUUGAUCUUUGCCUCUUUACAUUGAAUUAUAUUGUUAACAGGCAAAAAUUGUCAAUUAAGUUCAUCUCAAGUUGUUAUUAUUAUAACAAUGGUAAUGAUAUUUAAUUUGCUUAUUGAUGAUAUACACUAGCGCGGUAAUUGAUGACAGUUGAACACAUUUGGUGUGUAAAUUAAAUACAUCAAUUGAGUAAAUUAUUGUUAUGAAACAAGAUUAGAAGAGAUUCAAUAGAAGCAACCAAAUUAUGUAUAAUAUAAGUGUAAGAUCAACAAAUUAUGUGACUCAAUUAAUGACGGAGAAAUCAAAUAGAUUGCGAAUCUAAAUUACAAUCAAACAAAAGAGAGCCUCAAAUGUAACAUUCACAUUUAUUUUUAGAUCGAUACUUCAAUAUUAUCAUUAAUAUUUUGCUCAGCAAUUACAAUUUCAAUGUUUCAUUAUUGACCCGACUUGGUGGCAGCCUUUUAUUAGUUGAUUUCACAAUGAGAAUAUCAAAAUUAUCAACUAAAAACAGCACUCAUUCAAAUUAGAGUCACUAAUCAAUUUAAUUUACCAAUUGUUAAAUUUUUGCAAUGAUUAUUUAGAUGAUAAAAGGAGUAUUUACAACUUUAACACGUCUUUACAGUAUUGGUAAAAGUGUAGAAGGAAGCUAACUUUGGGUUCUUGAUAUCACCGACAAUCCUGGAGUCCAUGAACCAGGUGAACCUGAAUUUAAAUACAUUGCUAAUAUUCAUGGUAAUGAAGUUGUUGGAAAAGAACUCAUGCUUCCAUUGAUACAAAAGCUAUUGGAAAACUAUGAAAAAGAUUAUAAAAUCAAAAAUCUUGUUGAUAAUAUACGUAUACACAUUUUACCAUCUCUCAAUCCUGAUGGUUACGAAAGAUCGAUUGUGAACCUUUACAAGGACGUGAAAAUGCCAACCAACAGGAUUUGAAUAGAAAUUUUCCUGAUCAGUUCAAGCCUUUGGUGAAAGUGCAUUACCAACCUGAAACUAAAGCUGUUUUGCAUUGGACUCAAAGUUAUCCUUUUGUUUUAUCAGCCAGCCUCCACGGUGGCUCAUUAGUAGCUGAUUGACCAUGUUUACAGUAAAAGUCCUGAUGAUGAUGUUUUUAAAUACCUUGCAUUGCUUUAUUCGUAUAAACACAAAACCAUGUCUGAUAGCCAUCCUUUCAAAGGACAAUGUGGUCCUGCGUUUGAAUUUUUCGAGAAUGGAGUCACUAACGGAGCUAGUUGGUAUAUUUUGUAUGAAGGUAUGCAAGACUUCAACUAUAUCACCACCAAUUGUUUUGAGAUUACAUUAGAAUUAGGCUGUCAGAAAUUUCCUUAUGCCUCUGAUCUUCCUCGCUAUUGAGACGAUAAUCGAGUUGCUUUGAUCGCCUUUACGGAAGAAGUACUUAGAGGGGUUAAAGGUUUCGUUAUUGACUCAGAUAGUGCAAAACCAAUUCCAAAAGCUACAAUUCAUAUUGAGGGCAUUAACCAUGAUGUAAAAUCAGCAGAAGAUGGUGAUUAUUGGAGGUUGCUAACACCAGGACAUUAUACUGUUACAGUAUCGGCUGAGGGGUAUGAAAGUAAAAGUGUUUCAGUCGAUGUCAGUGAAGAAUGGGCUUCAGUAGUCAAUGUAACUCUAACAAAACCAAAUCAUAAAGUCAAGGGAAAGCCAUUACCGAUCAAUUUAAGUAAAGGAGUUUUCGGCGAAACAGUGGACUCAAGUGGCAAUCCAAUAUCAGACGCUCUAAUAAAAGUCUUAAAUGAUGAAUCCAAAUUAGAUUCACUAAUCAAUUUACUUUACCAAUUGUUAAAUUUUUAAAAUAAAAUGAUCUCGAUUUUUCA